rnacentral:lncRNA from 1 species
UGCCCUUUUUUUUUUAAAGUUUAUCCUGACUUUUUUUGCAUAAAUUGUCAUCCUGACUUUUUUUUUUUGCAAGUGUCUCAUCCUGCCCUUUUUUUUUACUCAAAACUCCUGUCCUGCCUAUUUUUUUUCAAAUUUCAUCCUAGCCCCCACCCCCCCCCCCCCCCCCCCCCCCCCCCCCCCCCCCCCCCCCAUUAAAAAUCAAAUGGUAGCUCCCUUAUAUUAAUGAUGGUGGACCAUUUGUUUACUGUAACAUGUACUUUACAAUUUUACGACUAUCUCUAAGACUUCAGUUUAAUAUUUGAGAAAGAAUUUAUCAUGUUGAUAUUGAUAAUAGCGACACAAUUAACUUCUGAGGAUUUUAUGAAUAAUAGUUUAACAUGAUUAACGGUGUGACCUUGUUCAAUAUUCAACAAUAUGGCCACAUUCCGUUAUUAGAAGUAUUUCCUGUAUAAGUACAUGUAGUAGCAAUGAUUUGAUAUGUACUAAUUUGUAUUACAAAGUAUUUCAAGUAUAUAUUGGUUUCAAAUAAGUGGCUAAAAAUUUCAUGUAACUAU